rnacentral:rRNA from 1 species
AGGAUAAACGCUGGCGGCGUGCCUAACACAUGCAAGUCGAACGCGCUUUCGGGCUUCGGUGCGAGAGCGAGUGGCGGACGGGUGAGUAACACAUGGGUACCUACCUUGGAGUGAGGGAUACCGGCGAGAAUCGCCGACAAUACCGCAUAGGCUUCUUCACAAGGGAAGCAAAGUGACGCGAGUCACGCUUUGAGAUGGGCCUGUGGCCGAUUAGCUAGUUGGGGGGGUAACGGCUUCCCAAGGCGACGAUCGGUAGCUGGUCUGAGAGGACGAUCAGCCACACUGGGAUUGAGAACGGCCCAGACUCCUACGGGGGGCAGCAGUGAGGAAUUUUCCGCAAUGGAGGCAACUCUGACGGAGCAACGCCGCGUGCAGGAGGAAGGUUUUCGGAUCGUAAACUGCUUUUCUCGGGGACGAGCAAGGACGGUACCCGAGGAAGAAGCCCGGCUAACUACGUGCCAGCAGCCGC